rnacentral:misc_RNA from 1 species
GAUGAAGAACGUAGCGAAAUGCGAUAAGUAGUGUGAAUUGCAGAAUUCAGUGAAUCAUCGAAUCUUUGAACGCACAUUGCGCCCCUUGGUAUCCCGAGGGGCAUGCCUGUUCGAGCGUCACUUCACCACUCAAGCCUGGCUUGGUGUUGGGCGACGUCCCCUUUGGGGACGCGCCUCGAAACGCUCGGCGGCGUGGCACCGGCUUUAAGCGUAGCAGAAUCUUUCGCUUUGGAAGUCGGGGCCCCGUCUGCCGGAAGACCUACUCGCAAGGUUGACCUCGGAUCAGGCAGGGAUACCCGCUGAACUUAAGCAUAUCAAUAAGCGGAGGA